GACGAACGCUGGCGGCGUGCUUAACACAUGCAAGUCGAACGAAGAGCGAUGGAAGCUUGCUUCUUUCAAUCUUAGUGGCGAACGGGUGAGUAACGCGUAUUCAACCUGCCUUUCAGAGGGGGACAACAGUUGGAAACGACUGCUAAUACCGCAUUCGAUCUAAUCUCGGCAUCCAGGAUAGAUGAAAGGUGGCCUCUACACGUAAGCUAUCACUGGAGGAGGGGAUUGCGUCUGGUUAGCUAGGUGGAGGGGUAACGGCCCACCAAGGCGAUGAUCAGUAGCCGGUCUGGGAGGAGGAACGGCCACAUUGGGACUGAGACACGGCCCAGACCUCUACGGGAGGCAGCAAUGGGGAAUCUUCCGCAAUGGAGGGAAGUCUGACGGAGCAACGCCGGGUGAGGGAAGACGGCCUUCGGGUUGUAAAGCUCUGUUAAUCGGGACGAAAGGCCUUCUUGCGAACAGAUAGAAGGAUUGACGGUACCGGAAUAGAAAGCCACGGCUAACUACGUG
rnacentral:rRNA from 1 species